GGUCCUCAUCCCGCGAACUCUCAUCCGGAGGAGCUCCCGGCCGGACCCUCAUCCGGCCGAGGCGAGCAACUGCCGCUCCUCCCGCGCCGCCGCGGAGUCUUCGCGCCUGCACGCACGCCAGGAAAAUGAGUCGUCUCUUCCUCUUAGACUCCUCGUCCUCCGACUAUGAUGACGAUGAACUCAUUCUUACAACACUACACCAAGCACAUACUCAAUAUGAAGCUAUGAAUGUUCCACGGUGGGGUGUUUCAGUGCCUGGGCGUCGGUACAUUCAUCGAGACCGAGUUUUCAGACGCUCCGACCUAUGGACCAUCUUUCUUCCGGCGAAGGUUUAGAAUGGCUUGCUCUCUGUUUAUCCGAAUUGUGCAAGCUGUAGAGCAACAUGAUAAGUAUUUUGUGCAAAAAAGAGAUAUAAAUGGACGCCUUGGUCUAUCAUGUUUGCAAAAGAUUACUGCAGCAUACAUGAUGAUAAGUCAUGGAGUUCCUUGCAGAUUUCAUGGACCAUUACAUUCAUAUUGGUGAAAGUACUGUUAUACAGAGUCUAAGAAGGUUUGUCAGAGCUGUGGUUGAAGUGUUUGGAGAUGAGUAUCUGAGGACUCCAAAUGAGCAUGACACAGCUAGAUUACUUUCUAUUGGCAAUAGAUUGUAUGCAUUGGCAAUGGAAAAACUGUCCUACAGCAUGGCAGGGUAUGCAUACGAGCCAUUUGCAGGAGCCCACAAUCAUCCUUGAAGCUGUUGCUUCACAUGAUCUUUGGAUAUGACAUGCUUUCUUUGGUUUGCCGGGGUCUCUCAAUGAUAUCAAUGUUCUACACCGAUCACAUUUGUUUGCCAAGCUAGCACAGGGGAAGCUCCUGCAGUUAAUUAUACCAUCAAUUAUCAUGAUUAUAUGAUGGGAUAUUACCUUGCAGAUGGCAUCUAUCCUCGAUGGGCGACCUUUGUGAAGACAAUAUCACAACCACUAGGCAAUAAGAGGAAAUAUUUCGCCAAGGGACAAGAAGCAACUAGGAAGGAUGUGGAACGAGCAUUCGGAGUUCUAGAAGCUCGAUUUGCUAUUAUUCGCGGUCCAGCCCGUUUCUGGGAUAAAGAGACGCUCAGAGAAAUCAUGACGGCUUGUGUCAUCAUGCAUAACAUGAUUAUUGAAGAUGAGUGAAAUGAAGAUGAAGAUUUCCACUACGACGGUGUCGGCCAAGUUGUGAUACCUACACCACGUGAAGUGCGUAACCGUACUCAAGAACUACAUGAUUUCAUCCAAGUUCAUCAUAAUAUAAGAGACUUGCAAGGCCAUUCUCAACUUCAAGAAGAUCUAAUCGAGCACCUGUGGAACCGACAUGCGGACAUGUAUUGAUCAUGUAUUAUUUUCUCGUUAAUGCACCAUGUAUUUUCUUUAAAUCAUGUAUUUUAUUUGUGUGGACUUUGUACGAACACUAUCUGUAGGCUAUCAUGUUCAUUUUUGUUUGUCUUUA